rnacentral:rRNA from 1 species
GAUAAACGCUGGCGGCGUGCCUAAUACAUGCAAGUCGAACGGCAGCACGGGUGCUUGCACCUGGUGGCGAGUGGCGAACGGGUGAGUAAUACAUCGGAACGUACCUUAUCGUGGGGGAUAACGCAGCGAAAGCUGUGCUAAUACCGCAUACGCCCUGAGGGGGAAAGCGGGGGAUCGCAAGACCUCGCGCGAUUAGAGCGGCCGAUGCCUGAUUAGCUUGUUGGUGGGGUAAAAGCCCACCAAGGCGACGAUCAGUAGCUGGUCUGAGAGGACGAUCAGCCACACCGGGACUGAGACACGGCCCAGACUCCUACGGGAGGCAGCAGUGGGGAAUUUUGGACAAUGGGGGCAACCCUGAUCCAGCAAUGCCGCGUGAGUGAAGAAGGCCUUCGGGUUGUAAAGCUCUUUUGUCAGGGAAGAAACACCGGCUCUAACACAGUCCGGGAAUGACGGUACCUGAAGAAUAAGCACCGGCUAACUACGUGCCAGCCGCCGCAGUAA